GUGCGAGGAGAGCGACUCGGCUUAAGGGGGGAGACCCAGCUCGGGGCGUCACGGAGGGAGGCAACGGCGGGAAAGAUGACAAGGACAUCGGGGAGGAAUCUAGAGGGGUGAGAAAGGCGGCGCAAAGGGACCGAGACCAGAGAGUGACCCAGAAGUGGGGUGGGGACCUCCUCAGGGUGGACACGGAUGGUUGGAGAGAGACAGAUUUACUAAAGAGGUAAAUAAAUCCUCGGAAGCCGAGUGCUGGAGGCGGCCGAGAAGCUGUCAGGGCGCGGCCGUCGCCUCCUCAGGGAAAGCUCUGAGGCAUGGAAGGGCCGCCGGGACCCGCCGGUGCAGGAGCCCGCGAGGGAAGCCGUGUGGGGCGGGGCGCAGGCCUAGGAGGCAGCAGUUGCACCCUGGGGUGAGGGGAAAGGAAGUAGCCAGAGUGAAGGCUUUGAGCGGGUGAUGUCUGUUCUUCGCCUGAAGUGCAGGACCCUUACCACUUCACCCCGAAUCUUCGCUGUUUUCUCCACCCUGAGCUUGCCCCAAAUCUAACCACAGGCAGACACACCCAUAUAAGGGCGGAACUUGGGCAAUCUUAAAAAGAAGUCAUUAAAAAUAAACUCCCUGGGCUUUUAUAGCAGCCUUUUUGUAAAUUAUUUUUAUUCAACAGAGAUAGGGGCCUGCUUUAGAAAGUAGAUGGACAGUGUGCGUGUUGCAGUCUAUUUAAAUUAUGUAUUGGUAAGGUCAGCUCUCCAUGAACUUUGAAAUCAUGUAAUUGUUUCAAAAGCGAAACCAUUCACUUAAGACUUGUUUUAACCAACCUAUACCUCCAUCCCCACCCCGCGCCUUCCAGAGUAAUUAAAUGUAAAUAUAUAUAAAUGUAUACAGUAAGUCCCUGACUUAGGAGCUUUCGAGCUUCAAACUUUGACAGGUGCCAAGGGACCUCCGAUUACGAACAUUCAUAAAUGCAAACAAAUUGCGGAAGUAGCGCGUGUCCGCUGGACGUUGUCACAGUUGUGCCGCUUGUGCUUACUGCAUAGUGUGAUAGUGUAAUACUACUCAAACAUCGGGAUCUUUUUUCAAGAGUGUAGACAAUUGAAUCCAUCAAAACUCCUGUGUCGGCCAGGUGUGGUGGCACCUGCUUGUAACCCCAGCACUUUGGAGCCUGAGGCUGCGAAUUCAAGGCCUGCCUGGGCUACAUAGUUCAAAGGCAGCCUGCACUAUACAGUGAGACCCUGUCUCAAAAAAUAAACAAAAAACCCCUGUUUGAGCAGAAUUCUAUCUUGCCCUCCAUCUGCCAUUGCAGAUGGUCCUUCAGCUCCACCUUCUCCUCCCACCCUCCCUCUUCCAGUUAGUAAGGCUCUUCUUGUCAGUUGACCCCAUGUGCCAGUUGUAGUGUACCAUCAUUUUUUUUUUGAGGCAAGACAUUUAUUUGUACCACCAUUUUAGGGUAACUAUAAAGUAAAAAUUGUUUGUUUAGAGUAUUUGUGUGUGAGUGUGUGUUUGGUGUUUUUAUGCUUUACAUUGUGUAUCUGUGUCAAAGGUAUAAGACUCACUUUGUCCAACUUAACAAAGGAAUACGACUUAGGAAGCGUCUCCCCAAACAGAACUUGUCCCUAAGUCGGAGACUAACUCUAUAUGCAUUUCUUUCAUUGAUGCGGUCAGGAAAAGUGUCCAAAAUGUGGAAAUGGGCAAGAGAGAUUACUGCGUGUCCUUUCAGUGGGGUGCUGGAUUGGGUGCUGUUUGUUAGAACUUCACGAGAUUAUCUGAUUCUAAAGUGUCUGUACCCUCGUGGACUUCCUAUUGACUAGCUGAUGACAUCUGAGAACACUUGAAGGCCACUGUGAAAGGAGACCCAGCACUCCUCCUAGAAUGAAAUCAUCAUGUCAAGCAAUUUGGGUCCUGUCCUGGAGAAAUGUCCCUGCUGCUAUAUCUAGUCAUCUGCCUCAGAGGAAGCCUCAGCUGCUGGUCUGUUUGUUCCACAAACCCUGACAGGAAGUCCACUGGAGCCCACUUCCGGACCCAGGAUCAGCUGAGCAGCUUCACAGCCACUCACUGCCCUGACGAGAAAGCAGCCAGACCUCAGAAGCAAAUCAGCAGGGCCAGCACCACUGUUGAGGAGGCCCAAAGGCUGUGAAGGCUGAGCUCCAGAUCCUCAUUGAUAAAAGCCAGCUGACAGCGAAGACCCCUUAUUAUCAGCGACCUCAGCCAACACACAACCUUCAAAACAUACUUUCUCCAGUUAUUUUGCAGUUUUAUUGGUUUCUUGCUAACCAUGUUGCUUGUAGCCCAUGUCUUCCUCUUUCCCCUCUCUUCUUCCUCCUUCUUUACCUUCUCUUGGUGGAUCUUCAUGUGUCUCUUGCAGAAAGCAUUCCUGGAUGGCAAACUUUUCGAAUCUUUGCAUGUGUGAAUACAUGUUAAUGUUGCUCUCACUUCAUUGUGGAUGAACUGGGUAUGGAAUCCUGGAUUCAGAAUAUUUAAGUGAUACUUCAUGAGGUAUAAAUUCUGAAUUCAGAAUAAUUUUCUGUCAGAAUUUGGUAAAACAUUUCCUUGAUAUUUGUACGACCUUGAAUUUGAUCCCCAUAGCUGCCAAAGAUAAAAAAUUGAAAAACUGAAAAAAGCCUUCUGUUCCCCUGGAUCCUCACACACACACACACCUUUUGGGAUUUCCCAGGAACCCAGACAUUUCCUGAGGAUACAGUGUUUCAUUAUUCCUUUUCAGCACUCAUGAGUCCCUUUCAAUUUGUAGACUUGAGCCUUUCUUCAGGAGAGAUUUAAAAAACACUUUUAAUAUUUCAUUCCUUCAAUUUUUUCUAUUUGUCCUUUCUGGAACUUUUGGU
rnacentral:lncRNA from 1 species